AUGAUACUUUCUGUUUUGUCGAGCCCUGCUUUGGUCUCUAGUUUGAUGGUUGUACGUGCUAAAAAUCCGGUACAUUCCGUUUUGUUUCCCAUCCUAGUCUUUUGCGACACUUCUGGUUUACUUAUUUUGUUAGGUCUCGACUUCUCCGCUAUGAUCUUCCCAGUAGUUCAUAUAGGAGCUAUUGCCGUUUCAUUCCUAUUCAUGGUUAUGAUGUUCAAUAUUCAAAUAGCGGAGAUUCACGAAGAAGUAUUGUGCUAUUUACCAGUGAGUGGUAUUAUGGACUGA
rnacentral:rRNA from 1 species